UCUCUUCCUCUCCUCUCAAAUCUCUCUGACUUCUCUCUAAAACCUCUCCAUUCUCUCUAACCUCCCUCCUCUCUUCUCUCUUUCUUCUCUACCACCGCCGCCGCCGCUGCUAUUUUUUACUUUUUUUUUUCCGCUGCCUCUCCUCUUCUUCCUUUUCUGGUCUCGUCGACGGCGACGGGCGCCGCCACCUCCGCCUCCUCUCUCCUCCCACAACGAACAAAGAAAGGAGAACAGGAGGAAGAAAAGGUAAAAACAUGGAAACCCCUCCUUCUGCUUUAAUUUUUUUUUCUGUUUUGACUUCGAUUCGGGCUUGCAUGUUGUCUGCGAAUCCCGAUCUGCGGAUUUACGAUCUGAGUUUUUUUUAUUUUUAUAUUCUUUUCCUGAUUUCUAUUGUCUUUAUGUUGGUUUAUAUUUUCAAUAAAGAUGGGGAUCAGUGGAGCCGGAGAGGCAGAUUUCCGUCGAAGACGGACUCGCAGGAGCAAAGGACGAGAAAGGUAAAAGGUUGAACCCUUUAUUUAUUCUGAUUUUACUUGGUUGAUGAUGAUAGUUUUGUUUGAUUAGGUCACUUGAAACAAAAUCUGGACUAUUUUGUUGUUACGAUGAGUUUAGAAAUCUGAACUUUCUAAAAAUUACCCAUUUGUUUGAAAUGUUAUUAUUUAGUGUCAUCUUUGAUAAAAUUUCAGCAACUUGUUAAGUUUUGAAUCUUAUUUUAGUGUUUGCUAGGACGUUUACCAACAUGAAACGUUUCCUUGAUUAGUCAUAAUGAAUAUUCGAGGAUGAUUUUUAAGAGAGUAUAAGUGCCACCAAAUGUAUGUAUAAAUAUUGCAUGAAUGCUUUUGAAUAGGAAUGUUUGGAUGAUUACCUUUGAAUCGAAGCUUCUUUUUUUGUCGUGUUUCAGGUGGUAGUCCCUUGCGAAUGACGACAAAGUGAAUGACGGUAGAAACGGUUGUACUUAGGUUUAGCUCGUGUUUGUAACUUGCUGUAAUAAUUUUCUUUUCUUCUUUAUUUUGGACUGGGACUUGGCGGGACUUGGGUUGCAGGGAUUUUUUCGUCCAAAAACCAUUCUUCCCCCUCCAUUUCCCCUCUUGCUUGUCCAUUUAAAUCAAGAAAAGGGAUUGCCACCUCCCCUCUCCCCCAAUGGAACUUUGCAACGUUUCUUGAAACAAAACAAGAGGUGGCAGCCUCUUAAUUAAUAACAGUAGCUGGCCCAAAAUUGGGCCCAAAAUACCGGGCCCGCUAUCGGGCCCAAAAACAUUGACAUUUCGACGUAGAAAAGAAUUACGAAACUAAAAGUACGAAAGCCCGGACAAAUUUGGUUACUACAAUAACGUUAGAUGAUGAUAAGUUUAGAUACGACGAGUGAGCAGUGAAUAAGAACACCUCACCUAGAUGAAUAAUAGGUGAAUUCAUAAUGAACCUAACUUGAUUGAGUUUUGUUAUUCAUGUUGAUGAUUC
rnacentral:lncRNA from 1 species